rnacentral:rRNA from 1 species
ACGGGAGGCAGCAGUGGUGAAUAUUGGACAAUGGGCGAAAGCCUGAUCCAGCGACGCCGCGUGAGUGAAGAAGUAUUUCGGUAUGUAAAGCUCUAUCAGCAGGGAAGAUAAUGACGGUACCUGACUAAGAAGCCCCGGCCAACUACGUGCCAGCAGCCGCGGUAAUACGUCGGGGGCAAGAGUUAUCCGGAUUUACUGGGUGUAAAGGGAGCGUAGACGGUAUGGCAAGUCUGAUGUGAAAACCCAGGGCUCAACCCUGGGACGGCAUUGGAAACUGUCAAACUAGAGUGCAGGAGAGGUAAGUGGAAUUCCUAGUGUAGCGGUGAAAUGCGUAGAUAUUAGGAGGAACACCAGUGGCGAAGGCGGCUUACUGGACUGUAACUGACGUUGAGGCUCGAAAGCGUGGGGAGCAAACAGGAUUAGAUACCCUGGUA